rnacentral:lncRNA from 1 species
AAUUAACACAGGUCCCAGGGCUGAGAUUUUCCAUGUUUAGUUUCAACCCAAAGGAAAAUUUUGUUAGAAAGUUGGAAGAGUGUGACUAUUUUUAAAUAAUGAGACGUGGGGCCAUAGUGUCAGCACAGUCGAAAAGGUAAAAAACAUUUGUAUCUUGCUUUCUUCCACCCUCCCCUUCAAUUCAGAUGGAUAGACUGCAGAAGAAAACAAGGGAAGUUAACACUUCAUUCACAGCUUGCCAAAUGUCAGGAACUUGCUUUAUCCUUGCACCGUGGGACAUCUCUCUGCCAUAUCUUGCAUCACACUUGGAGAAGGGAAAAAGAAGUCUCAGAGUGGAAUAUUGCAACAUCCCAUAUUCUCCCGAGAAGGACUGCUGGAUUCCCUUGCUGAUGAGGAAUUACCAUGGGGUCACCUUGCUACAUGGUUCAUCACUGUCAUCCCUCCCUUCAGAAAAAUUAAAUCAUUCAAAGGUCA